AAUGAUAAUGAGAUGCAUCAGGAAACAUGCAAGUCCACAGAAAAUCAGCGCUGCACCAACCUUCUUCUUCCUCGUCUCCUAUUGCUGCGGAUAGAGCCAUUGCGGCAGUGCGAUCUCAUUAUGUGAGCUCCAGCAUGGCGUCGCCACAAAGGGAAACCCGCAAGGGCGUAUUCUAGCAUGACAGGGUGCAUCCUGAUGCGUAGAGGUGAGAUCGAGACGUGGAGCAGAACAGCAACGGUACAUUUCU
rnacentral:lncRNA from 1 species